UUGAAACGAUAUGAAGAGGGAAGCUGCUAGCUUCUGAAUUCUGAAGUCUCAACUGACGUGAUGGUUCUUCUUGGCUUGUUCUGUCAACCCCUUCUCCAAUGGUAGUGUAGAGAACCAUGUUCAACAGUCAGUUCAUAAAUGAAUGAUUAUCCACAGGUAAAUUACUACUCACUAAUGAUCUUGGUAUAGAACUAACGGAGCAGCAAAAGGAGUUAUAAUCUGUAGAAGUUGAAUUUAAACUUGUAUUUUUUUAAGUAACGUAUCUCAUAUUAGUUUAUCUUUGUCAAUUUUUUAAAAUAUUUUAAUGACUUUUUAGGUGAAAUGCAACAUCCAUUUAUGUGUUAAAAACACUUUCCCCGACAAGGUAAACAUGUAACUUUAAUAUAACACUCAUGGUUCACAUAGCAGAGAACAAAAAAAAAAGACUGAGAUUCAGCAUAAUUAAAAUUCCAUACAUGUUGCGUUAAGCAUGAACUGAACAUAAUUGCAGUAAAAGAUGACGAAGAAUUAAACAUGACACAAUCUAAACCGUUUUGUUAAACACCUUAACGGCAUCAACUGAGACGAGCUACCGAGUAAAAACUUAAAUUGAAGAACAACCAUGAUAUAUAGCUCAAGAUAAAUAUGUAGACAGAUCAAUAAGUGGCUAGAUUAAGCAGAGCUACUUCGGUGACCGCUGACCGUUCACAAUAAAGAGGAUCAUGGCGCCGCUGCGAGCUCGUUGAUCGAGCGACGACACCGUCGCCGCCGAGAUCCACCUCAGACGGAGUCUGCAAGCCCUGGCGCCGCCUCGUCACCGAUCGCGUCCUCCUCCUCCGUCUUCCACCGGACGCCAUUCCUCCACGACGGCGACGGCGACCACGAACUCCUCCCACACAAUCCCGGCCACGCCAUGAUCGCGGCGGACGAGGGUUUUUGAGGCUUGGCAUGGC
rnacentral:lncRNA from 1 species